GGACCGCCCAAACGGGGCUAAGGCCAUACGGACAGCCGGGUCCACUGCCGA
rfam:Faecalibacterium prausnitzii SL3/3 draft genome.